CACAACGGACAAAAGAUGAGCAUGCCGUCCCAUUAGCUAGUUGGUAAGGUAACGGCUUACCAAGGCUACGAUGGGUAGGGGUCCUGAGAGGGAGAUCCCCCACACUGGUACUGAGACACGGACCAGACUCCUACGGGAGGCAGCAGUGAGGAAUAUUGGACAAUGGGCGCAAGCCUGAUCCAGCCAUGCCGCGUGCAGGAUGACGGUCCUAUGGAUUGUAAACUGCUUUUAUACAGGAAGAAACACUCCGACGUGUCGGAGCUUGACGGUACUGUAAGAAUAAGGAUCGGCUAACUCCGUG
rnacentral:rRNA from 1 species